rnacentral:rRNA from 1 species
UGGGGAAUCUUGCACAAUGGGGGAAACCCUGAUGCAGCGACGCCGCGUGGGUGAUGAAGCCCUUCGGGGUGUAAAGCUCUUUCGGCAGGGACGAUAAUGACGGUACCUGCAGAAGAAGCUGCGGCUAACUACGUGCCAGCAGCCGCGGUAAUACGUAGGCAGCAAGCGUCGUUCGGAAUUACUGGGCGUAAAGAGUGCGUAGGCGGUUUGGCAAGUUUGGUGUGAAAUCUCCUGGCUUAACUGGGAGGGUGCGCCGAAAACUGUCAGGCUAGAGUGUGGGAGAGGAAAGCGGAAUUCCUGGUGUAGCGGUGAAAUGCGUAGAUAUCAGGAGGAACACCUGCGGUGUAGACGGCUUUCUGGACCACUACUGACGCUGAGGCACGAAAGCGUGGGGAGCAAACAGGAUUAGAUACCCUGGUAGUCCACGCCCUAAACGAUGCGGACUUGGUGUUGGCCCUUCAUUGGGUCAGUGCCGCAGUUAACGCGUAAGUCCGCCGCCUGGGGAGUACGGUCGCAAGGCUGAAACUUAAAUGAAUUGACGGGGUCAUAGCUGUUUCCUG